CGUAGCUGGAACAACGAUGUGAUUGCGUCGAACAAGUCUCAACGAAAGAGUUCCGCGAAAAGCCGCGGGGAGCUGGCAAACAAGCUUUGAUCCGCGGAUGUCCGAAUGGGGAAACCCACCCGCAAGGGUAUCGCUGACUGAAUUCAUAGGUCAGCGAGGCGAACGUGGCGAACUGAAACAUCUAAGUAGCCACAGGAAAAGAAAUCAACCGAGAUUCCGAAAGUAGUGGCGAGCGAAAUCGGAGCAGCCUGUGCGUGAUAGUCGAUUGGCUAGUGGAAUGGUAUGGAAAGGCCGGCCAUAGAGGGUGAUAGCCCCUUACACGAAAGCGAAUCGGUGGUACUGAGCGUACGACAAGUAGGGCGGGACACGUGUAAUCCUGCCUGAAGAUGGGGGGACCAUCCUCCAAGGCUAAAUACUCGUAAUCGACCGAUAGUGAACAAGUACUGUGAAGGAAAGGCGAAAAGAACCCCGGGAGGGGAGUGAAAUAGAUCCUGAAACCGCAUGCAUACAAACAGUCGGAGCCUCGCAAGGGGUGACGGCGUACCUUUUGUAUAAUGGGUCAGCGACUUACGUUCAGUGGCAAGCUUAACCAGAUAGGGGAGGCGCAGGGAAACCGAGUCCGAAUAGGGCGCCAUAGUCGCUGGGCGUAGACCCGAAACCAGGUGAUCUAUCCAUGGUCAGGAUGAAGGUUGGGUAACACCAGCUGGAGGUCCGAACCGACUAAUGUUGCAAAAUUAGCGGAUGAACUGUGGAUAGGGGUGAAAGGCUAAUCAAACCUGGAAAUAGCUGGUUCUCCCCGAAAACUAUUUAGGUAGUGCGUCAUGUAUUGCUCCAGGGGGUAGAGCACUGUAAUGGUUGUGGGGGCCAUCGCGGCUUACCACGCCAUAGCAAACUCCGAAUACCUGGAAGUAUGAGCAUGGCAGACAGUCGCCGGGUGCUAACGUCCGGCGGCAAGAGGGAAACAACCCAGACCUACAGCUAAGGUCCCAAAGUGUGGCUAAGUGGGAAACGAAGUGGGAAGGCUAAAACAGUCAGGAUGUUGGCUUAGAAGCAGCCAUCAUUUAAAGAAAGCGUAAUAGCUCACUGAUCGAGUCGUCCUGCGCGGAAGAUGUAACGGGGCUAAGCCAUGCACCGAAGCUUAGGCUGCACUCUUUGAGUGCGGGGUAGGGGAGCGUUCUGUAAGCCUGUGAAGGUGUCUCGUAAGGGAUGCUGGAGGUAUCAGAAGUGCGAAUGCUGACAUGAGUAGCGUUAAAGCGGGUGAAAAGCCCGCUCGCCGUAAGCGCAAGGUUUCCUACGCAACGUUCAUCGGCGUAGGGUGAGUCGGCCCCUAAGGUGAGGGCGAAAGCCAUAGCUGAUGGGAAGCUGGUUAAUAUUCCAGCACCGAUUUCUAGUGCGAUGGGGGGACGGAUCGUGGAAGGUUGUCCGGGUGUUGGAAGUCCCGGUUCCUGACCUGUAGGUGUCUGGUAGGUAAAUCCGCCAGGCGUAUGCCGAGGGGUUGGGACGAGCGAGCUUGCUCGCGAAGCAACUGGAAGUGGUUCCAAGAAAAGCCUCUAAGCUUCAGCUAGAAACGACCGUACCGCAAACCAACACUGGUGCGCGAGAUGAGUAUUCUCAGGCGCUUGAGAGAACUCGGGAGAAGGAACUCGGCAAAUUGACACCGUAACUUCGGAAGAAGGUGUGCCUUGGUAGCUUGAGUGUGAACAACACAAGGGCAAAGAGGUUGCAAAGAAUAGGUGGCUGCGACUGUUUAUUAAAAACACAGCACUCUGCAAACACGAAAGUGGACGUAUAGGGUGUGACGCCUGCCCGGUGCCGGAAGGUUAAGUGAUGGGGUGCAAGCUCUUGAUCGAAGCCCCGGUAAACGGCGGCCGUAACUAUAACGGUCCUAAGGUAGCGAAAUUCCUUGUCGGGUAAGUUCCGACCUCAAUCUCCCCGCAGCUAGACGGAAAGACCCCAUGAACCUUUACUGUAGCUUUGCAUUGGAUUGCGAACCGACUUGUGUAGGAUAGGUGGGAGGCUUUGAAGUCAGGACGCCAGUCUUGAUGGAGCCAUCCUUGAAAUACCACCCUGGUUUGUUCGCGGUUCUAACCUAGGCCCGUCAUCCGGGCCGGAGACAGUGCAUGGUGGGCAGUUUGACUGGGGCGGUCUCCUCCUAAAGAGUAACGGAGGAGUUCGAAGGUACGCUUGGUACGGUCGGACAUCGUGCCUAAAGUGCAAUGGCAAAAGCGUGCUUAACUGCGAGACUGACAAGUCGAGCAGGUGCGAAAGCAGGACAUAGUGAUCCGGUGGUUCUGUAUGGAAGGGCCAUCGCUCAACGGAUAAAAGGUACUCUGGGGAUAACAGGCUGAUACCGCCCAAGAGUUCAUAUCGACGGCGGUGUUUGGCACCUCGAUGUCGGCUCAUCUCAUCCUGGGGCUGUAGCCGGUCCCAAGGGUAUGGCUGUUCGCCAUUUAAAGAGGUACGUGAGCUGGGUUUAAAACGUCGUGAGACAGUUUGGUCCCUAUCUGCUGUGGGCGUUGGAGAUUUGACGGGGGCUGCUCCUAGUACGAGAGGACCGGAGUGGACACACCUCUGGUGUACCUGUUGUCACGCCAGUGGCAUCGCAGGGUAGCUAAGUGUGGAAGAGAUAACCGCUGAAAGCAUCUAAGCGGGAAACUUGCCUGAAGAUGAGAUCUCCCUGGGGACUCGAUCCCCCUGAAGGGUCGUCCAAGACCAGGACGUUGAUAGGCCGGGUGUGGAAGCGCAGUAAUGCGUGCAGCUAACCGGUACUAAUUGCCCGUGAGGCUUGACCCU
rnacentral:rRNA from 1 species